UGGGGAAUUUUGGACAAUGGGGGAAACCCUGAUCCAGCCAUCCCGCGUGUGCGAUGAAGGCCUUCGGGUUGUAAAGCACUUUUGGCAGGAAAGAAACGUCAUGGGUUAAUACCCCGUGAAACUGACGGUACCUGCAGAAUAAGCACCGGCUAACUACGUGCCAGCAGCCGCGGUAAUACGUAGGGUGCAAGCGUUAAUCGGAAUUACUGGGCGUAAAGCGUGCGCAGGCGGUUCGGAAAGAAAGAUGUGAAAUCCCAGAGCUCAACUUUGGAACUGCAUUUUUAACUACCGGGCUAGAGUGUGUCAGAGGGAGGUGGAAUUCCGCGUGUAGCAGCGAAAUGCGUAGAUAUGCGGAGGAACACCGAUGGCGAAGGCAGCCUCCUGGGAUAACACUGACGCUCAUGCACGAAAGCGUGGGGAGCGAACAGG
rnacentral:rRNA from 1 species